AUUUCCCAGAAGCCCCUUGGGCAGUGUUGCCUGGACCCCAAGGGCCCUUUACAUUGCGUUCUUAACGGUUCAGUCACCUGAACCGUUAUUAUUCACAGGCGGGCGAGAAGUCCGAGCUAGGGAUCCUGAAAAGGAGGGAACAAUUGUUGUAGCAGGUCUAAAAGUUCAGGUCCAGGAAAUGGAAACAUUGCUUUGCUUUUCCUGAAUUGUCCAGUGACCUAUCCCAGGCCUUCCUUUCCAGUGAACAAUGGACCAUGCAGAGUCUCGCUCUGUUGCCCAGGCUGGAGUGCAAUGAUGCGAUCUUGGCUUACUGCAACCUCCAUCUCCCAGGUUCAAGAAAUUCUCCUGCCUCAGCCUCCCGAGUAGCUGGGAUUACAGGCGCCUGCUACCACGCCCAGCUAAUUUUUUGUAUUUUUAAUAGAGAUGGGGUUUCACCAUGUUGGCCAGGCUGGUCUCGAACUCCUGACCUCAGGUGAUCCACCCGCCUCGG
rnacentral:sRNA from 1 species